AGGCCCCAGCUCCUCUGUUCUGCCCAGUGGCCUGGCGCAGGAAAGGUGACCCAGUAGUUCAGCCUGUCCCAGCUGCCUGCCCCAGCACCAUCCCAGACCCCUUUCCCUGGGGCCCACCUUGGCCCUGAGGAAGGCCAGAGCUCGGCUGCUGUUCUCCAGGAAGUGCACACGCAGGCGGCCCCGGCUCGGGGGUGGCAGGGCCUCCCCUGAGAUGAGCUCCAGCAGCCGCAGGAGGUGGAUGCCGUCAGCCAGCUCUGUGUACAGGUUCCGGAUCUUGAUGCCCGCCUGGGGAGGGGACAGGGUGCAGCUCUGCUCGUGCCUGUGAAGCCUCCCACAGCCUGGGAAGGAAAAUCCAGACUUGCCAGACCUUGCCUCAGCCAGGCCUUGGAAGCCUGCCAGCUUACCUAACCAGUAAGACCCUCAGCCCAUGGAGUCCUGUGUGAUGUUGUGAGCGUGGGAGGACAGACUGAACUGCUCGGCCCGUGGAGUCCUGUGUGAUGUUGUGAGCGGGGAGGACAGACUGAACUGCGUGGUGCUUCGCACAUAGACCUCAACAGGGAUUGGCAUUUUGAAGCUGUUGGCGGGGGCUGUGGACUGCUUUUCUUCCUUUCUAGCUCAACGGCAGCUAAAGCCACUGCAUACAAUGCAAGGACUGGCUCCUGUUUGGCCACGACUGAUUGCAGCCCCUGGUGAAAUGAGAACCCUGUGGGUCGGAACAAAGUUUGGAUUAUUUAUGUUGCAAGUAACUAAAAUCUCAAGUGAAACUGGUUUAAACAUUAUAUUUUUAUUAUUUAUUUAUUUAUAUUUAAUUCUUUUUUAGAGACAGGGUCUUCUUAGGUUGCCCAGGCUGGUCUUGAACUCCUGGCCUCAACGAUCUUCCCACUUCAGCCUCCUGCAUUGCUGGGAUUAUAGGUGUGAGCCACCAUGCCUGGCUUACACAGUAUAAAGGGAAUGCAUUGGCCCACACAGUGGAAAAAAAUAUCUAGUAGGAAUAGGAAGGACUUCAGGUGAGGUUUGAUCCAGCAGCUCAAAUGUUGUCACCACAGGCCUGGAUUCCUCUGGCCUUUCUCAAGGUCUCUUUCAUUUUCAUGCUCCACAAGAUGGCUUCUGCCAGGCUGACCUCCCUCCCCUGACCCCAGCAGCUCUGGACACCCCUCUCAGUGCCAUUUAUAUUGUUGCAUCAAUAGGCUCAUUUCUAUAUACUGCAAGGUUCAGAGAAGACAGAGUAUCUCUCUCAAGAGUUCUAACAUAAGUCUGGGGGUCCUGGCUCUCAUAGGCUUGAACAGGGCCACAUGUCCAUUCCUGAGCCAAUAUUUGUGACCAAGGGGAUGUGGUCAAUCUCAUCCAAACCUCACUUGAAGUGAGGGUGGGAGGAGGAGUGCUCUGCAAGGAGACUGUAGGUCUGGACCACCAAAAAGGUAGAUGGGUUGGUGGGAAAAGCCAGAUGCCUACUAUGGUAGUGGGCGGGGGGAGGGCACACUGGCAAGGUACAGCAAGAGGCAGGGGCAGUGCUGGACAGGCAGGGGCUCCUCCCUAGCACGACUGGAGAAAGGACUCCUGUGAAGCGGUCACCUCCAUGAGUCCCUCCUGUCCUGGCUUCCAACCACUCUGAAGUGGGGCUUUUGUCCACAGACCUGGCCUCUGCUGCCUACCCUCUUCUGUCCCCACCUGAUGGGGCCGCUUUCCUUCUGAAGCGGCUGCAUUUUGGGUUUCUCUCCACAGGAAGAGUUGGGGCUCACAGGCACACCCUCUCCCUAACUCUUCUCCCCCGGUUCAACCUGGAUCCAGGGAUCCACACUCUGCUCCGAGAGGCCAGCACGCAGCCACUGGAAAAUGAGCCAGUGGGAGAGGGCAGCUCCAUGUUUAUUGAUCAGCAGACUAUGUCUUUUUGUUUGAAACUUCUAAAUAAGAUUACAAAAAGAAAAAAAAUAGAAGCAUUGCGUAUUAACUGCAUUGGUUAACCAACAUUGGAACCCAAUACUCUUGUAUUAGGCCCGCAUUUACCUGAGUAAACUCAGUGGUUUUCUGUCCUAAGCAUGCUUGCCUGCUACAUCCCAUGGAGAAAAUAAACAGUGAAACACUUUCCUCAUCUUCAAGGCAAUUGUCUCAGGCAUCCUCCAGGCAUCAUGAAGGAGGGUGAGCGAGGGUGCGAGGUGGAAAGGUCCAGGCCGCGGCUGUGACUCCCGCGGGUGAACCACAGCUCCACAGCCCCAAAUCCAAAGAUGCUCUUGCUGCAGCACGACAAGUGUUCAAAAGAGAACCAGGCCCAGCCCGGAGAAAGGAAAGCCAAAAGCCAACUGAAUGAAUGACCCUCCCCCAGAAGAGCAACCCUGCCCCCAGGCCAUCCAAGUGCGAACAUUACCAGGUGCCAGCAGGGAAAGGACUCCGCUGCCUGACGCCUCUCCCACCUGAGAGCGCAGAGGUAGGGAGAUCACAGUGCCUGAGAGGUUUUCCUCCACGGAGAAAUCAGAGACCUCAACCUGCUGCCCUCUAAAGCAGCUUUCUGUAUCCAGACAAAACUUACAUAUGUACACGUUGUUUUAAAACGACAUACUCAUGUGACACACAUGUAUAUAAAUUCAUGUUUAUAUAUGACAAUUGAGGAGAGUUAAAGAACAAGAUAAUUCUGGAUGGAAAAAUCAGUUUGCCUGGGCAUCUGUAAACCUUUGGGCAAGUGAAUUCCCUCUUCUCUCUCAGUUCACCCUUUGGUGACCUCCACCGUGGCUGCAGACUUCAGGUGGUCCUCACGCAUUCACAGAACUGUCUGCUUAGGUUACAGCACUUUGGGAGGCCGAGGUGGGUAGAUCACGAGGUCAGGAGAUCGAGACCAUAUUGACCAACAUGGUAAAACCCCAUCUCUACUAAAAUACAAAAAUUAGCCGGGCGUGGUGGCGGGUGCCUGUAGUCCCAGCUACUUGGGAGGCUGAGGCAGGGGAAUCACUUGAACCUGGGAGGCGGAGGUUGCAGUGAACUGAGAUUGCGCCACUGCACUCCAGCCUGGGU